rnacentral:rRNA from 1 species
GACGAACGCUGGCGGCGUGCUUAACACAUGCAAGUCGAGCGGUAAGGCCCUUUCGGGGGUACGACGAGCGGCGAACGGGUGAGUAACACGUGGGUGACCUGCCCUCAGCUCUGGGAUAAGCCUGGGAAACCGGGUCUAAUACUGGAUAUGACUCCAUGACGCAUGUUGUGGGGUGGAAAGCCUUGUGCGGCUGAGGAUGGGCCCGCGGCCUAUCAGCUUGUUGGUGGGGUGANGGCCUACCAAGGCGACGACGGGUAGCCGGCCUGAGAGGGCGACCGGCCACACUGGGACUGAGACACGGCCCAGACUCCUACGGAAGGCAGCAGUGGGGAAUCUUGCGCAAUGGGCGAAAGCCUGACGCAGCGACGCCGCGUGAGGGAUGACGGCCU